AGUCUGGGGAUUUCCGGCAGACCUUGUCGGUCAUUUCUUGCCUACUUUUUAUGGCAUUCUUCAAUUGAUCAUAAAUAUUCGCUUUAUGAUUGUGUCAAGUCACUUUAAUACAAGUACAACAGUGAUGAUAAUGACGACAACCUGUAAAAAAACUAAUUCGGGGUUUUACUUUGAACAUGCGUAUAUUAUCAACCAAACUCAUUUUUUUCUAACUAAGGAAUUUGUAACAUGUUAUCGUAUCGGGGUGUGUCAAAACAAAACACAGCGACAUGGCGGCCAAGCGAUAUAAAUUAAAUUUAAAUGAAAAAAUAAAAAUUUUAGAUGAUUUGAAAGCCUUCGAAAGGGUUGCACCAUUUUUAAACGUAAUCAAAUAAAUGAAGCAACCAUUCGCACUAUCAGAAAAAAUGAAAGCGCAAUAAGAAAGGCGGUUUCAGCCGCCAGUUGAAGCCUUCUCUUGCUUACAAAAAUCUUAACCCUAGGGCUUUAAAAGGUAUCAACAAAACCAAGUUUCCGCUGCAUUGGAUUACAAAUAAAAAGGUUCGGGUCACAGCUUCUCUUUUCAAGGACUGGUUCUUAAAUUAUUUUGUGCCUGACGUGCGAGAGUAUCUGCGUUCAAAACAACUUGACUUCAAAGUUUUGCUGCUCAUCGACAACGCUCCUGGUCAUCCAAAUAUUCUUCAUGAAAAUGUGAUGUUAACGUUUCUUCCUCUAAAUACGACGUCAUUAAUGACAACACUGUUAAAAUAGGUCCUAAUAGGGAGUUUUAUAUGAAAAUUUGAUGUUUUUACACAGUUUUUUUUUUUGUUUGCACGAGUAAUUUACUGUCCCAGUUAACCGUGCAAAAAGAAUCAAGUGUAUAAUGAAUAUAUUGCGCUGAAACCGUUUGCCAAAAUAAAAAAAUAUUUGUAGGGAGA